CUCUCUUUAUUCUCGUCAUAAAUGAUUUCUGUCUCCAUCAACAAAAUAUCAGAGGGUGAUCAGAUCACUCAUCGGCGGUUAUGGUGUUUUUGAUGGAUCCACUGUGGGAGGGAACAUGAUUGUUAAACGACGCCGUUUUCUGUAUUAGUAGUAGGAGUAUGUUAAUUUUUUAUGUUUUAUAUCAAGCUAGUACUGUAUUUAUGCGAACAAAAUCAUAGUACAAAUAGUUAAGCACAGUUGCCCACUAAUCUUAUGAACUAAA